UAGAAUGCAUAGGAAUCUACCUAGUAGUAUGGGAUAGCCACUAGAAAUGGUGGGUAAUACUGUAUAAUCCCUGCGGGGGAAAGAUUUAUCGCUAUUAGAUGAGCCUAUGUUAGAUUAGCUAGUUGGUAGGGUAAAGGCCUACCAAGGCGAUGAUCUAUAGCUGGUCUGAGAGGAUGAUCAGCCACACUGGAACUGAGAUACGGUCCAGACUCCUACGGGAGGCAGCAGUGGGGAAUAUUGGACAAUGGGCGCAAGCCUGAUCCAGCUAUGCCGCGUGAGUGAGGAAGGCCUUAGGGUUGUAAAACUCUUUCAGUAGGGAAGAUAAUGACGGUACCUACAGAAGAAGUCCCGGCAAACUCCGUGCCAGCAGCCGCGGUAAUACGGAGGGGGCAAGCGUUGUUCGGAAUUAUUGGGCGUAAAGGGCAUGUAGGCGGUUCGGUAAGUUAAAGGUGAAAUGCCAGGGCUUAACCCUGGAGCUGCUUUUAAACCUGCC
rnacentral:rRNA from 1 species